CUCUGCUUCUGCUUCUAGAUCCUAAUUUCAGUACGGUUAACUGAUUUUUUUUCUUGUCCUCUUGGUUUGUGCAACGAUUGGAGAAUGGAUGCAGAGUUAUGGAUGUUGCUUGUGUCCUUCCUCUAAGAAUGGAUGCACAGGAAUGGUUUGUGCAACAUUGGAGAAUGGAUGCAGAGGAAUGAUCAGAGGUUUGUUCAGGUCCGUUGACUGUAUAACAGUACUGAGCAUUUCAGAGCAUUUUGUUUUCCUCCUACGAGAAUGGAUGCAUAGGAAAGAAUUUUGAAGCAUUUUGUGUUCCGUUGCAAUAAGAUCAAAGUGUACAGUACUUAGCAUUUGGUGUUCUGUUUUGUUGAAUGUGUAUCUACUCUGAACAUACAGUACCGAGCAUUUUGUGUUUUGU
rnacentral:lncRNA from 1 species